GGACAUUGCAAAGAGUGGCGAACGGGUGAGUAACACGUGGGAAACCUACCUCUUAGCAGGGGAUAACAUUUGGAAACAGAUGCUAAUACCGUAUAACAAUAGCAACCGCAUGGUUGCUACUUAAAAGAUGGUUCUGCUAUCACUAAGAGAUGGUCCCGCGGUGCAUUAGUUAGUUGGUGAGGUAAUGGCUCACCAAGACGAUGAUGCAUAGCCGAGUUGAGAGACUGAUCGGCCACAAUGGGACUGAGACACGGCCCAUACUCCUACGGGAGGCACCAGUAGGGAAUCUUCCACAAUGGGCGAAAGCCUGAUGGAGCAACGCCGCGUGUGUGAUGAAGGGUUUCGGCUCGUAAAACACUGUUGUAAGAGAAGAAUGACAUUGAGAGUAACUGUUCAAUGUGUGACGGUAUCUUACCAGAAAGGAACGGCUAAAUACGUGCCAGCAGCCGCGGUAAUACGUAUGUUCCAAGCGUUAUCCGGAUUUAUUGGGCGUAAAGCGAGCGCAGACGGUUAUUUAAGUCUGAAGUGAAAGCCCUCAGCUCAACUGAGGAAUUGCUUUGGAAACUGGAUGACUUGAGUGCAGUAGAGGAAAGUGGAACUCCAUGUGUAGCGGUGAAAUGCGUAGAUAUAUGGAAGAACACCAGUGGCGAAGGCGGCUUUCUGGACUGUAACUGACGUUGAGGCUCGAAAGUGUGGGUAGCAAACAGGAUUAGAUACCCUGGUAGUCCACACCGUAAACGAUGAGUGCUAGGUGUUUGAGGGUUUCCGCCCUUAAGUGCCGCAGCUAACGCAUUAAGC
rnacentral:rRNA from 1 species